ensembl:lncRNA
GUUAUGUGUGGCUAUGGGUUUAGAUGGGGUUUCGAAUCACAGUGAUAGGGUCAGCUUGGAUGGUAGGGUCAGAUGGGGUGACAUGGAGUUACGGAUCACAUGGGUUGUAUGGUCGGGGUGAGGUGGGGGCAGGGAUCCCAGAGUUAUGGGCCACAUGGCGUCGGGUCAUAGCGUGAUGGGGGCAGGCAGAGUCAGGGAGUCACAGGAUCAUGUGGGGAUAUGGUUCCCCCAGGGCUCUGGGUCACGUGCAGCCAUGGGGUCACGCACAUAGAGGGCGAUGAGGUCAUCUUGGUUUAUGGCUCAUGUGGGGUUACGGCUCAGGGCCCCACCUUUGGGCCACAGGGACACCCAGUCCCCUCUCAGGAUGAAAUGAAACCACUGCAAACUCUGCCCCCUUCCUCUUUUUACCUCAAACCACUCCCCACAUCCUCCCAUACUCUCUAUGUCCCCAUACUACCCCAUACCCCUGUGUCCCACCUGCAGCCCACGUCUUGUCUUCUCCUGAACAGCAUUCUGCUCCUGCAGCCUGUGUUCCCACAUCCCUUAAUGUCCCUAUAUCCACCAAACACACCCCCAGAGAGCCCUAUAGCUCCUCAAGGACCUUCUCAGACUCAGUACAUCUCCCCUACAGACAAGCUGGGCCAUCACAGGCUUCUGCAGUCCCCAGCAGCAGCACACAUCCCCCUCUGAGCUCCCACUGAACCUCCUUGUUUUCUUCCUCAGACCUCCCUUACCCCCUCCGUCCUCUCCUGGGUCCUCAGAGUUCCACAGUCCGUGACAGGACCCCCAUUACCAUCCCAGGAUCCCCAUAGCCCACCAAGGAGGAACCCCGCAGCAAUCCAC